CAUUUCAGGCAAAGCAAAUCUCAAACUAGCCUAUGCUGUGCAUUACAGUGAAGACAGCUCCGAACAUCAUGCAUGCCAAUAAAGACGACCGAGCCAAUCAGAGUAAGUAUAGACUCGUGCAGCCCCGCCAAUUCUGCAGGAUCCAGCCAACCAGGAAGGUUCUUCUCAUUUGGACUAAUGCUACGCAACUCUCUGGUGUCAAAUCCGCCAUUUCGCAAGAACAGCAAUGAACCGGAUUUUCCAACCUUCGCCGUCACUAUCUCUGUGCACGUGGCUGGGUCGAAGUUGGAGGCAACAGAUGGACAAAAUGUUACCAUGCCCUUUAAAACCAAACUGGAGAAAGUUGAUGAAGUGAAAAUCAUCUUUGAAGGAGAAAACAAGGGAAAAAUGUUGUUUGCGCAUUACUGUUUCCGUGAAACUGAUCCCAUCUGUGACAUCAAAUCGGAUCAUCUGCAAGUUACAGGUGGAAAUGUGUUGUUGAUCCUUCUGAAAGUUCACAGCUCCAGAACAGGCCUCUAUAGAGUGCAAACCUUUUUUGGAAAGGACGCGGAUGAGGUGAAUGCCACACUUGUCGUCAACAAAAGACCAUUUUCAUCCAGCGCAGCGCCACCACAAACCUCCCCCCCAAAACCACCAAACUCCUCUGAGCAUCAAGAACUACUAAUUACUGUAGUCAUCAUCAUCUGCAUCAUCAUGAUCAUUGUCUUGGCAUUUCACUACUUCUGGAAUCAAAGGAAG